rnacentral:rRNA from 1 species
AGUGUAGGCGGCUUCGUAAGUCGGAUGUGAAAGCCCUGGGCUUAACCUGGGAAUGGCAUUCGAUACUGCGCGGCUAGAGUCUGAUAGAGGGAAGUGGAAUUCCAGGUGUAGCGGUGAAAUGCGUAGAGAUCUGGAGGAACACCAGUGGCGAAGGCGGCUUCCUGGAUCAAGACUGACGCUGAGGCUCGAAAGCGUGGGGAGCAAACAGGAUUAGAUACCCUGGUAGUCC